rnacentral:lncRNA from 1 species
GGCAGUGUUUUGACGACUGCCUCACUAAAGGAAGCUAAAAGCUGUGCUGAUGCCUCCCAGACGAGCCUCGUUGGAAGCACAGAACCUUCACGGCUCGGAGCCGCUGACACCGUGACAAAGGGAGCCCUGCUCAGGAUGCAGCAGCAACUCACUGUGCAUGUUUUUACAGCUCUUCUCCAGUAAUGCUGCCAUUUCCACUGCAGACCACAGGAUAAACGGACUGCUUCACAGUGGCCCAGGAUACCCUUUUAAGUAGGAGAGCCAGAUCAAGGAAAGAGACAGGAAAGCAGAUGAUUGUACCUGCCUUCCCUAAGUGCACUCGGGAAAGGAAGGAUCAUCUCAAAAAGGGUUAAGGAAUGAGAGCAUGGAAAUCGCUUACACACGCGGUCGCGGCUUGGACUUGGCUAGUGAGGCCGGCCUGCCCGCUCUGCUUCCAUUCACUCAGACACAGCUUGGGCUUUUCCUCCAAGUGCUGGUAGCAGUCAUUUAUGAGGGAGGAAAGGAGCAGAAUAAACACACUUCUCAGCUCCCAGGCACUCUGUGUGUGUAGACAGAGGCUCGGGUGGAUGAGAAACCUCAGCACACCCAUGAUCUUUGUCAAGGCUGGAGACUUGCAGUGCACACUCCAGGCCUGUGGAAAUGGUUCCACCUGGGUCCCUCUAUUGCUCCUCAGCUGCCACAUUAGGGCACCUCGCCCAAGUCCACGUGUGGGAUGUGCCUGCCUGUGGCCCACCUAACGUAUGCAGUCUGUCUGGAGUGCCGGGCACAGGCUCCUCGCGUGGGCUUCAGCUGGAAUUGAAAACUGCAUUUCUCAAGAAUCACAUUGCCUUUGCCUCGUAGGCUCAGUUGGAUCUCCAAGUGGCGGUACCGUUCUCUCCACUUCAAAAAUACACAGAAACAUGUGGAAAUGUUCUGUCAUCCAGAAUGAAAAGCAUGUGCACCAAAUUUUCACAGACCUGAUUCGAAUGUAGAUAAAAGUGCAAAAUCCAGAGGAGGGAACACGCUAUAGAAAUCCUGUCUUCUAUACUAUAAUUUAAUCAUCGUGUGCCACAGAAUGUCUUUGCAUAAAUUACAACCACAAUGAUAGCAUCACUUUCACAAAAGGUGGCCUCUAAUCGAUUUGACUCUCCAAGAGAUGGCUGGGUUUUUCAAAGCAGAGAAAUGAUGCCCUGCAGUCUUAAAGAGCUGUUGAUUGCACCUGGGGCUCCCGUGGCCGGCGCCCAUCGAGCAGCCCGUCCUGGCUGUUCCCUUGUUCAGCUUAUUUUCUUUUUUAUCUUGACAUUUGCUAACCGCUUGGUUUUUAUUUUCCGGGAAGAGAAGAUUAUUGGCAACUGGCACCACCCCCAUGUCUGCAGGAGGGACGUUUCUAGGAUGACCCCCAGAGUGGAGAAAUAGCCGAGUGCUUUGGAGUCUUCUCAGAUCUGGACGAAAACAGUUUGUGAGCUGCGCUGAGCAGUUCCGGAGCCCGGGCUCCCUUUCCCCGGGGCCUAAGCCCCCAAGAAGAGAGUCUUUUUCAGGACCAUGGGAGCAGGUUUUAAAAGGCUUUCUAUUGAAGCGAGGCCGUCAGCCAGCCGUGCGUGUCCGCAUUGUGGUGGUCCCAGAGCCUUAUGGACAAUCCUUUGAAAGAAUAGGGUUGGGAAGAUUCUCAGGACAGAAGAGGCUAAUUUCCAUCCUUGGAGCUUUAUCUCACAAAGGAUAUUUGAUAGAAAGAAAAAAUGGAGUCUGUGGAAGCUUUGCUCCUGUUUCCAAAUGGGUUGACUCUGGAUGCAAAGGAAUAUUUUCACAUUUUUCCCAAUAGAGGAAAGCUUUUAGUGCCAAAAUCCUCAAAGGAGAAUGAACAUCACACAUCACACAUGUAUGUGUAAGGGUAGAAUAAUAUGGUACAAAAUCCAGUGAGUACAAGCACACAAUGGGCAUUCAGUACAGGUUAAAUGAAUAAGUAAGAAAAAUUCAAAGUUGUUGUUGCUGUUUAUAAGGGUGGUGAUUAUUAAUAGAUGCAAAUGUGUACUCCCUUUUGUAAUCACAGCAAGGUAAAAGUCUUAUCUCUGAUCAUUACCAUGAGGACACUUAAAUAUUUAGCCCUGGGAACAAAAUGGUUUGUAGGCAGGACGUCCUGUGUGUUUAUGCACACAUAUAAAAUGCCGCCCUGGCCCCAGGACUGCAAGGCCUCUGACUGCAUCAUUUACAUUGAGGGGUGGUCCUGAUCAACAUGGCCCCAUAGAAUAAUAGAGGGAAUUUCAGAUAGUACAGCGUUAGAUAAUAAGCGCUUUCCACUGACUCUGUUUACAUGUGGAAAUUAGAAGCGCUGAGUGAAAAAGAGUAGUGAAAAUAAAGACAGGAAGUAUAUACACAACAAACAAUUUUUCCUCUCUGCAAAUCGGAUUAUUCCCUUGCGCACCCUGCAACCCCCAUCUAUGAUGUCAAAGUCAAUGGACUGUUGAACUAAUAGCCUGGGAGUCACCAGUGUGAGAGUGUGUGUGUCCACGCUGUGCAACUUGAAUUAGGCUGCCACCAUGGCUGUGUACAGCUACCCCAGGAAGAGCCCCUCCCCUCCUCAGCAUUUCAGUGGAAAACGUGCUGACUGACACCCAGCUACAGGAAUCACAUUUGGGCAGAGAGAAUGGUUUAUCCUUUUCAUGAGGGGUCUUGACUCAAGAACACUUGCCAAUUCUGCUUGACCAUUUCCCAUUCUUUACGGUUUUUCCUAUCACUCCUUAGACUAAGAAAGAAAAAUCUGUAGGAAUGAUUUGGUGGGAUUUCUCUUUUGUUCCUAAAUAAACCUUAUCCCUGGAUGAGCUCGUUCACACUAGGGAAGUUACUACCACUGGCUUUGAAGCCAGGCAGAUCUGGGUGUUCCUUCCCAUUUCUUUAUUUGCUUUGUGGGGGAUCUUUUCCCAGCUUUUCUGCUGUUUCAUCCUUCUUAGUGAGAGCUUCUUCAGCUGCAGAACAGGGGCAAUAAUGCCUACCUUCCUGGGUUGCAGUAGAGAAUGCUGCUUAUGCAGGAAAAUAAAAAAACACAUAGCGCACAAUGGGAGCUUAAUACAUAAGAAUUAUAAACAGUCUUUUGUGUAUAUAUCAAUGUAUUUCAUGUCCUUAAUGUUUAUUUAAAGCAAGUACAUUCUUUUGAAUUAAGCAUAAAAAGUCAUAAAAUGCCAGAGAUGUGCUUAUUUGAAAUGUUUGCAAUGCUUUGCAAUUGUUUUAAAAUAAGGAGAUGAUAUAACAGGGUGUUAGCUCUGCCACUAAUUAGUUACGUAAUCUUAGAUUAUGUCACUUCCCUGGGUCUCAGUUGUAAACAGUUGCUUAAUAAAUAAUUUUUGUUUUGCUGUCAU